GGCUGGAUAGCUCAGCGGUUAGAGCAAUGGCAUCAUAAGCCAUGGGUCGCAGGUUCGAAUCCUGCUCCAGCUA
rnacentral:tRNA from 1 species